UCGUUUUAUAUUCUUGGCCUUUCCUGUCCAAGAAAGGUCAGCCUGGCUGGGGCGGCUCGGAUUCGUCCGUCGGACGACGGAUCGGCCCGCCGCUCGGUCCGCUCCGAGUGUGGCGUCCUCGUCCUCCUGCAGAGAGGCUCGUGGCAGUGUGUCGUCGCUGCAGGCUUGCAAGCUCACACGCUCUGACGGACGCGCAUCUCACGCCUGUCGUCUACCACCCAAUCAUGCGGAUGCGUAUGCGCGUGUGACCCGGGGUGACGGGGUGGCUGUUGGACUCGUGGUUCGUUGCUGCAUCGAUCGUGGCCUUUGGUUCGUCUAUCGGACGGUGAUGUGUGGGCAUGCGACGUUGUGAGGAACUAAAUAAGCCCGAAAUGAACUGGUGACAUGGACCUCUGACCCGGGUGACUACCGAGUCAGUACUCGCGAUAUGUUCCUGGUUGAAAUGAACCGAUGGCAUGGGACUGACCGGGGUGACUACUGACUACUGAGUCACUGCUCGUGAUAUGUUCCUGCUUGAAAUCAAACCCAUGUAAGUGUAUUUUUGCACCGUUUAAUUCAAUGUUUGA